rnacentral:rRNA from 1 species
CAAAAGCGUAUAUUAAAGUUGUUGCAGUUAAAAAGCUCGUAGUUGAACCUUGGGCUUGGCUGGCCGGUCCAUCUUUUUUGAUGCGUACUGGACCCAGCCGAGCCUUUCCUCCUGGCUAGCCUUUUGGCGAACCAGGACUUUUACUUUGAAAAAAUUAGAGUGUUCAAAGCAGGCCUUUGCUCGAAUAUAUUAGCAUGGAAUAAUAGAAUAGGACGUUAUGGUUCUAUUUUGUUGGUUUCUAGGACCAUCGUAAUGAUUAAUAGGGACGGUCGGGGGUAUCAGUAUUCAGUUGUCAGAGGUGAAAUUCUUGGAUUUACUGAAGACUAACUACUGCGAAAGCAUUUACCAAGGACGUUUUCAUUAA